ACUGCCUCGCUCAGGCUGCCGAUCGGCUCGUUCUCUCUGCGUUGGGACCGCGGAGGGCAUUCGCUGUGUGACUCAGGGCAAGUGUGCGCACCUCUCUGAGCCUCCGCGGCCUUCUCUAGCAAAAUGGUGGAGCCGGUACCCGGCUGUAAGGCAAGCUGGGAUGCGCGGAGUAGCGGGUGGAAAGCUGGACUGGAGUUCUCACUCGGCCGCUGGGUGACUUCGGUGCACUAGGGAUAGUAACAGUACCACCUCGUAGGGUUGUAGAAAGACCAAGUGAGUUAAUAUUUGUAAAGUGUUUAGAACAGCGUCUACUGCAUGGAAAGUAGUAUUUAUUUGUUAGAGAGACUCCAGGAGGUCUUGCCCAGGGAUUGACUUCUCCCUUCCCUGUCUCCACCCCCCACAUUCCCGUUUGUGAGCCAAGCCUUGCUUUUGCACCGGCCGGGCUCUCUUGCCUGGAAAUGCAUACCCAUCUCAAACCUGGGCUUUAAAAUCACCUCCUCUGGGACGCCUUCCUCUACUUCUCACAGUUCAGGCCUGUUCUGCCCCACACAGCAGAAAAUGCCCACGAUGCAAUACCAGAGUCUGCAUGGGACCAUUUCAACAACCCUUAGAAGCUGACUCAGCUGUCUCCUGGCCCUGACUUUUCUAAGAUGAGAGGAGCUGGUAGGAACAAUUUGGGAACCCUCAAAGGCUGAGAGUAUCCCACCCACUUCACAGAUGAAGCAAACUGAGGCCCAGAGAAGGGAAAUUACUUGCCCAAGAUCACCCAGCAAGUAAGAAACAGAGCUGGAGAUGAGCUCAGGCCAGCACGGAACCACGCAAACUCCUUCUGUAGGCUUUGUAAAGGAUUGAUGAGAAAAGCAGAUGGUUAAGAGCUCUACAACUUCUGUGAGUUUCUCCACGUUGGUCAGGCUGGCCUCGAACUCCCACCCUCAGGUGAUCCACCUGCCUUGGCCUCCUAAAGUUCUGGGAUUACAGGCAUGAGCCACUGCACCCAACCUGAAUAAUCUAUUAGAGUCUUUAUCUCUAAGAAGAGAAAUACAUCUGAACUAAAGGGUAAAAAAUGGCAUGUUUUAAUUGGUAAGUCUAAAUGCAAAACGAUGACAAUAAAAUUUUAAAGGACUGCUUCCUUCUUAAGCUUUAUUUUCGUCCUCUGUCAGUGUAUUGCUAGACUCAUCUUUCCCAGACACCCAGACCUCCCACGAGAGUAUGUACAUUCCAUUUGGCUUGAUUUCAAGUGCUAAUGUAUAAAGCUUCUGGGUUCUGGGUCUGGCAAGCUAUUUCUCAUGUUCUCUGAUAAAAUAUUGAAAACCAUCUCUAAGGUCUUCCAAGAGGGGAUAUGUGGAAGAUACAUUUCAAUUUUCCACUGCAUUUCAACCUUAAUAUAAUGUGAUUAGCUACAGCAUUGAAAAUUAGCUUAAUACUGGCCCAUCUUAUUAUAGGGGCCAAGGAAAAACUUUCCCUUUAUCCUCUGAAGGUCCACUGUAAUCAACUGACACAAAAGGCAGAUUAAUAGAAGAAAAGGCAUAACCAUUUUAUUUUAAUGUACAUAGCACAGGAGAACUGAAGGAGAAUGAUUACCCUGCUAUCUUAAUUUAAUUCCAAUGUGGUCUGAGAGCAGACAUUGUAUGGUUUCUAUUAUUAUAAAUUGGUUAAGCUGUGCUUUAUGGCCCAGAAUGCAGCCUGUCUUAGUGAAUGUUCUGUGGGAGCUUGAGACGAAUGUGUUUUCUGCUGUUGCUGGAUGAAGUAUUCUAUAGACACCAAUUAUAUCCAGUUGAUUGAUGGUGUUGUUGAGUUCAACUAUGUUCUUACUGAUUUUCUGCCUGCUGAAUCUGUCCAUUUCUCAGAGGGAUGCUGAAGUCUUCAGCUAUACUAGUGGAUUCAUCUAUUUCUCCUUGUAGGUCUGUCAGUUUUUGCCUCCAUAGUUUGCUGCUCUGUUGUUAGGCACAUACCCAUUAAGGAUUUAACUAUGUCUUCUUGGAGAAUUGACCCAUUUAUCAUUAUGUAAUGUCUCUCUUUAUCCCUGAUAAUUUUCCUUGCUCAGAAGUCUGCUCUGAAAUGAAUAUCGCUACUCUCACAUUCUUUUCAUUAGUGUUAACCUGUUAUAUCUUUCUCCAUCUCUUUACUUUUAAUCUAUAUGUGUCUUUGUAUUUAUUUUUUAUUUUUUUUUAAUUUUUUUUUUCUGUGGGGUCAGCCAGGAGAGAGGGGGGACAGGUGACUGGUCCAUCCCUGAGGCAAGGAUCCCAGCACCUACCAGGCUUCCCCCGAGACCAACACUCUGCAGCUCUGGGAGGAAGUGGAGAGCCCCAGAGUCUGGCGAACUUGGCAGGACGUGAGAGAACAGCUCAAGGGAGAACCAUUCCAGUCCCUUCCAUGGCCCCAGGAGGUGGGAGACAGGCCCUCCCCAUUCUGCAGGUGAGAAAGCAAGGCUCUGAGAGGGACAGUAGCUUAUAUAGGGGACACAGCACAGGCAGGUGGCAGAGGCAGAAAUAAAACCCUUGUGGGUGGAAGGCGCAGGUUCUUCCACCCCAUGGGAGUCCCACCAUGGCUGGCUAGGAGGCUGAGAUACCCACAAGGAAAAGCCUGAAGUGGCAGCAGAGCCUGGAGAUGGGGCUGAGGGAAGAAGGAGGAGGAGCGGGGAGAGGGAGACAGGUGUCUCAGGAGACAGAACCGCAGAGUGAGUUUAGUGCUUGGGGAUUAGGCUGACUGACCUGGCUUUGCCACUUACUAGCUACAUGUCCCUGGCAUAGGACCUAGUGUCUCUGAGCCUCAGUUUCUUCAUCCAAAAAAAUGGAAAUGGCACCACCACAGGGCUGCUGUGUCAUACGAGAAGGUACUGUGUGUGGGCGAUGCAUACUCUCUGCCCACUACCUAUGGGGCUGGGCUGCCCGCCCGGCUCGCAGUGGCACACCUGCACGACACCGAGCAGUGAGGAGCAGCGAGUCUUUGUUGAGAUGGGCUGCAAGCAGCCCUCUGGUCCAGAUGAACUCCCUCAGGCCGAGCCUCAUCUCACCCAGCCCCGGCUUUCCUCCUUCCCAAGACACGGGGCCUGGGGAAGACCCUGCCCUGUCCCUGCACGAGGCCUUGAUCCUUGCCUACAGUUUUCUGACUGUUGUGUGCUUCAAGGAGAUGUGGAUAAGGAUCCCUCUCCUCAUAUCAAACCUGGUGCUUCUAAGCUGUGCAUGCUGCAGGAGCGCCUGUGGGCAUGGAGGCAGCAGGCCUAUGUCUGGAUUCUGCCCUCUGAGGGCCACUAGGCUGCAUGGGGUCAUCUUCUAGGCUCACUCUCCUACCACAGAGCUGCUACCAAGGAACCCCAGUCCAAAGCGUGGCUGCAAGCCUCUCAUUCCCCAGACUGAGCCUGUACUGUUUGGUUGUCUCAUGAAGACAAAUAUGGAAGAGACUAAUGGAAAGCCCAAAAGAGAAGCUGAGAUGUGGUUCGCCAUCUGCCUUUGGUCUUGGCAGCCCAGGGGGUUUGGGCCCUUUUUUUUUUUUUUUUUUUUAAACACGGAGUCUCACUCUGUCUCCCAGGCUGGAGUACAGUGGCACGAUCUCAGCUCACCACAACCUCUACCUCCCGGGUUCAAGCGACUCUCCUGCCUCAGCCUCCUGAGUAGCUGGGAUUACAGCCACAUGCCACCACACCUGGCUAAUUUUUGUAUUUUUAGUACAAAUGGGGUUUCACCAUGUUGGCCAGGCUGGUCUCGAACUCCUGACCUCAGGUGAUCUGCCCAUCUCAGCUUCCCAAAGUGCUGUGAUUACAGUUGUAAGCCACCGCGCCCGGCUGGUUUGGGCCUUUUCUGUACAUUGCCUGUCCCUGUAGGGGCUGGCAUGCUGUCCUGGGUUCAUCCCAGUGCCCAGGUCCACUGACAGUAUCUAGCUUGAGGUGCUAGCGUAGCCAGCUGAGACCAAACCCCAGGGAGUGGCUGAUAAUCUGAAUCUCCAGUACUCUCCCUGUCCCUCCCACUCUGGAGUUAAGAACAUGUUCCCCAGGAGACCAGGUGAUACUCCACUUUCAGCUGUGUGCCCUCCCCUGUUGCCUGGGAUGGCUGUGACUUGGGCCCCAACAAUGGCAGUAGUGCCCUCUAUCAGGAUCCCCUCCCCAAGUGAUGGGGCCUUCAGUCAGGGCAUGGUGGGCAGUCUCUUGAGGGCCAGGCAGGCCUCUGGUGUCUUUGUAUUUAAAGUGGGUAUCUUGGCCGGGCGCGGUGGCCCACGCCUGUAAUCCCAGCACUUUGGGAGGCCCAGGCGGGUGGAUCACGAGGUCAGGAGAUCAAGACCAUCCUGGCCAACAUGGUGAAACCCCAUCUCUACUAAAAAUACAAAAAUUAGCUGGGCGUGGUGGUGCGUGCCUGUAAUCCCAGCUACUCGGGAGGCUGAGGCAGGAGAAUAGCCUGAACCCGGGAGGUGGAGGUUGCAGUGAGCAGAGAUCGCACCACUGCACUCCAGCCUGGUGACAAAGCUAGACUCCAACUCAAAAAAAAUAAAAUAAAAUAAAAUAAAAUAAAAUAGAGUAUCUUGGCCAGGCAUGGUGGCUCACGCCUGUAAUCCCAGCACUUUGGGAAGCCGAGGCAAGUGGAUCACCUGAGGUCAGGAGUUCGAGACCAGCCUGGCCAACAUGGUGAAACCCCGUCUUUACUAAAAAUACAAAAAUUAGCUGGGCAUGGUGGCAGUUGCCUGUAGUCCCAGCUACUCAGGAGGCUGAGGCAGGAGAAUCGCUUGAACCUGGGAGGUGGAGGUUGCAGUGAGCCAAGAGCGUGCCACUGCACUCCAGCCUGGGCAAUAGAGAGAGACUCUGUCUCAAAAAUAAAAUAAAAUAAAAAAGUGUUCUUUUUUUUUUUACACAGCGUAUAGUUGGGUCUUGUUUUUGGUUCACUCUGACCAAAUCUCUGUCUUGUAAUUGAUAUAUUUAGAUCAUUGAUGUUUACAGUGAUUAUUGAUGUAGUUGGAUUAAUAUAUACCAUAUUUGUUAUUGUUUUCUCUUCAUUGCCCUUGUAUUUUUGUCUUCCACACAUUUUCUUCCUUUUUAGACUUAAGUGAGCAUUUUACAUAAUUACAUUUCGUCUUAUUUUCAGCAUAUUGAUAUUGAUUAUACUUACUUUUUUUUUUUUUUUUUUUUUUUGGAGAUGGAGUCUCGCUCUGUCGCCCAGGCUAGAGUGCAGUGGCGGGAUCUCAGCUGACUGCAACCUCUGCCUCCCGGGUUCAAGCGAUUCUCCUGCCUCAGCCUUCCAUGUAGCUGGGAUUACAGGUGCAUGCCACCACGCCCAGCUGAUUUUUGUAUUUAUUUAUUUAUUUUUUUUUAGUAGAGACGGGGCUUCACCAUGUUGGUCAGGCUGGUCUCAAACUCUUGACCUCAUUAUCUGCCUGCCUCAGCCUCCCAAUAUACUUACUUUUUAAAAAUUUUUUAGGCUGGGCAUGCUGGCUGACGCCUGUAAUCCCAGCACGUUGGGAGGCUGAGGCGGGCGGAUCACCUGAGGUCAGGAGUUUGAGACUAGCCUGGCCAACAUGGUGAAACCUCGUCUCUACUAAAAGUACAAAAAUUAGCUGGGCAUGGUGGCGUGUGCCUGUAAUCUCAGCUACUCGGGAGGCUGAGGCAGGAGAAUAGCUUGAAUCCAGGAGGCAGAGGUUGCAGUGAGCUGAGAUCACGCCACUGCACUCCAGCCUGGGCGACAAAAGCGAGACUCCAUCUCAAAAAAAAAAGUUUUUUUAGUGCUCGCCCUAGAGUUUGCUGUAUACAUAUACACUAAUCCCAGUCCACUUUCAAAUGGCACUAUUCUGCUUCAAUAAUGAAAUAUUCCUAAUUCCUCCUUCCAUCCCGUUUCACUGUAUUCAUUUUGCUUAUAUAUAGCUAUAUUCAUUGUUGCUAUUAUUAUUUUGAACAUUCUCUUAUUUGUUAGAUUAAGAAUAAGAAGAAUAAAAGUAUUAAUUUUCUCUCUACUUGUUCUUUCUCUAUUGCUUUCUUUCUUUAAGUGGAUCUGAGUUUCUGAUCUAUAUUAUUUUCCUUCUCUCUGAAUAACUUCUUUAAACAUUUCUUGUAAAUUAGGUUUACUGGCAACAAAUUCCUUCAAUUUUGUUUGAGAAAGUCUUUGUUUUUCUUUCACUUUUUAAAAAACAAAGCCGGGCGCGGUGGCUCACACCUGUAAUCCCAGCACUUUGGGAGGCCGAGGCGGGUAGAUCACCUGAGGUCGGGAGUUUGAGACCAGCCUGACCAACACGGAGAAACCCCAUCUCUACUAAAAAUACAAAAUUAGCCAGGCGUGGUGGCACAUGAGGCAGGAGAAUCGCUUGAACCCGGGAGGCGGAGGUUGCGGUGAGCCGAGCUAGCGCCAUUGUACUCCAGCCUGGGCAACAAGAGCGAAACUCUGUCUCAAAAAAAAAAAAAAAGGAAUAUAAUUUUUAUUUUGUUAAUAUAAUCAAGUACACAAAUUGAUUUUCUUUCUUUCUUUUUUUUUGAGACGGAGUCUUACUCUGUCACCCAGGCUGGAGUGCAGUGGCAUGAUCUUGGCUCAAUGCAAUCUCCACCUCCCAGGUUCAAGCAAUUCGCCUCUCUCAGCCUCCCGAGUAGCUGGGACUACAGGCACGCAUCACCAUGCCUGGCUAAUUUUUUUAUUUUUAGUAGAGAUGGGGUUUCACCAUGUUGGCCCGGCUGGUCUCGAACUCCUGACCUCAGGUGAUCCACCAGCCUUGACCUCCCAAAGUGCUGAGAUUAUAGGCGUGAGCCACUGUGCCAGGCCACAAAUUGAUUUUCAAAUACUAAAACAACCUUGCAUUCCUGAGAUUAAACUCUAUUCAGACUAGAUUUAUUAAACUUUAUAUAUAUGUCUAGAUUUGUUGACUUUUUUUUUUUGAAAUGGAGUCUUGCUGUGUUGCCCAAGCUGGAGUGUGGUGGUGCCAUCUUGGCUCACUGCAACCUCCGCCUCCUGAGUUCAAGUGAUUCUCCUGCCUCAGCCUCCCGAGUAGCUGGGAUUACAGGUGCAUGCUGCCAUGCCUGGCUAAUUUUUGUAUUUUUAGUAGAGAUGGGGUUUCACUAUGUGGCCAGGCUGAUCCCAAACUCCUGACCUCAAGUGAUCUGCCUGCCUCGGCCUCCCAAAGUGCUGAGAUUAACAGGAGUGAGCCACUGUGCCUGGCCAACUUUUUUCUUUUAGAGACAGGGUCUUGCUAUGUUGCCUCAGGCUGGCCUGGAACUCCUAGGCUGAAGGGAUACUCCCACACUAGCCUCCCAAGUAGCUGUGAUUAUAGGCACAUGCCACCUCACCCAGUUCCUUCACUUUUGAAGGAAAGUUUUCAGGAUACAGAAUACUAAGUUGGUGGGUUUUUUUCUCCCAACAUUUAAAAUAUUCACUUCAUUCUCUUUUAGCUUGCUUGGUUUCUGAGAAUUCAGAUGUAAUGUCUUUGCUCCUCUAUAGGCAAGUUUUUCCCCACUGUGGUUUCUUUUUUAAAAAAUUUUUCCUUUUUUUUUUUUUUUUUUUGUUGGCCGGAGUACUGUUGGCUACCCCUCUGCUUUCAUUCCAAGAUUUUUUCUUUAUCUUUGAUUUUAGAUUUUAUGCAGUUUAAAUAUGAUAUGCCUAGGUGUAGCAUUUGGGGCUUUGUGUGUGUGUGUGUGCGCGCGCGCGUGUGUGUGUAUGAGGGCGAGAGAGAGAGAGACAGAGAGAGAGAGAGAAAUCUCUGAGUUUCCUGGAACUGUAGUUUGGUGUCUGACAUUAAUUUGGUGAAGUUGCAGGGUGCGGUGGCUCAUGCCUGUAAUCCCAGCACUUUGGGAGGCCGAGGCGGGUGGAUCACCUGAGGUCAGUAGUUUGAGACCAGCCUGACCAACAUGGUGAAACCUCCUGUCUACUAAAAAUACAAAAAAGUUAGCUGGGCGUGGUGGCAGGCGCCUGUAGUCCCAGCUACUCAGGAGGCCGAGACAGGAGAGAGAAUCGCUUGAACCCGGGAGGCAGAGGUUGCAGUGAGCGGAGAUUGCGCCACUGCACUCCAGCCUGGGUGACAGAUUGAGACUCUAUCUCAAAAAAAAAAAAAAUUGGUGAAAUGUUCAGUUAUCCUUGCUUCAAGUAUUUCUUUUGUCCUCUUUUCUCCUUCAGCUAUUCCCAUUAUGCAUAUAAUAUAGCUUUUAUAGUUGUCUCACAGUACUUGGAUAUUCUUUCUCAUGUUUUUUCAGUCUUUUCUCUCUUUGCUUUUCAGUUUUGAAAGUUUCUACUAAUAUAUCUUCAGUCUCAGAGAUUCUUUCCUCAUCUGUGUCCAAUGUACUAAUGAGUCCAUUAAAAGCAUUCUUCAUUUCUAUUACAGUAUUUUUUAUCUCUAUCAUUAAAAAAAAAUUCUUUCUUAGAAUUUUUGUCUCUGUGGUUACACUGUCUAUAUGUGCUUGCAUGUUAUCUACUUUUUCCAUCAGAGCCCCUAACAUUAAUUAUAGUUGUUUUAAAUUUUUAGUCUGAUAAUCUCAACAUUCCUGUCGUAUCCCAGCCUGGUUCUGACGCUUGCUCUUUUUCUUCAAAGUGUGUGUUUUGCCUUUAAUAUGUGUUGUAAUUUCCCAUUGAAAGCCACACAUGGUAUACUGGUGUUGGGGCUCAGAAACCGAUACAACAAAAUAUGGUGCUUUGACAUGCCAAACUGAAGAAGAAGCCUCAAGGUCUCUCUGACCUUCCCUCAUCUCCUGUCUCUCAGUCCUCCCGUCCCUCCCAAAGCACAUGAUAAAGUUGUUUUCUGAAGUUCCCCUAUCUGCCUAAAGUCCAGUUCCGCCAAAGAAGAAAACAAUUACCUCUAGUCCCUUCUUUGAGUUUUCAUUAACUGAAUUCAUGUCACAGGAAGAAAGACCCAAGUCUGUCAACAAAUCCAGACAGACUUUUUUUUUUUUUGAGACAGAGUCUCACUCUGUCGUCCAGGCUGGAGUGCAAUGGCGUGAUCUUGGCUCACUGCAACCUCUGCCUCCGGGUUCAAGCGGUUCUGCCUCAGCCUCCCCAGUAGCUGGGACUAUAGGCUCUCACCACCACGCCUAGCUAAUUUUUGUAUUUUUAGUAGAGAUGGGCUUUCACCAUGUUGACCAGGAUGGUUAGACAGACUUUUGUCACAAACCAUUGUCUGCUCCGCAGGCCCAACAGACUUUGUUCAAGGAAAUUGUAUGUUCUUCAAGCCCAUUGAAUUCUCCUAAAACUCAUUUCCUAUCCCCUAAAAUCAUUAUAGUUUCCCAUCUUCCUUUCCCCUAAGAAGAAGGGUAUAUAGUGCUCGCUUUGGCAGCACAUAUACUAAAAUUGGAACGAUACAGAGAAGAUUAGUCUGGCCUCUGCGCAAGGAUGAUAUGCAGAUUCGUAAAGCAUUCCAUUUUUUUUAAUUUAAAAAAUUUAUAAAAGUUUUAAAAAAAGAAGGGUACCAUCUUACUCCAUUGGGAUAUUGGGUAAUCACUCUGUGAUUCUCCCCUGUGCAUGCUAAUAAAUUUGUACGCCAUUUCUCCUACUAAUUUGCCUUUUGUAAGUUGAUUUUUUUUUUUUUAAAAGACAGAGUCUUGCUGUUGUCGCCCAGGCUGGAGUGCAAUGGCGCAAUCUUGGCUCACUGCAACCUCCGCCUCCUGGGUUUAAAUGAUUCUCCUGCCUCUGCCUCCCAAGUAGCUGAGAUUAUAGGCGCCCGCCACCAUGCCCAGCUAAUUUUUGUGUUUUCAGUAGAGACGGGGUUUCUCCAUGUUGGCCAGACUGGUCUCGAACUCCUGACCUCAGGUGAUUCACCCACCUUGGCCUCCCAAAGUGCUGGGAUUACAGGUGUGAGCCACCAAGUCCAGCCUGUAAAUUGAUUUUUUAGUGAAACUUCAGAGAGUGAAGGGAAAGUUUUCCCAUAGCUCCUACACUGGGUAAAAGGAAUUCCCGUAAAAUAGGCCUUUAGUCAUGUGGUGGAGGAGGUGUGGGGCAGGGGUGGCGUUCCACAGUCCUGUGAUUAGCUCUCACUCUUUUCAUGAGCCUGGGAACCCUCCUGGGCUGUGAAGUUCACCAGUGCUUCUCCAUUUUUUUCUCCCCUUAGGUGGGACAGAGAUGGGAGUGGAAUUGGCUAUUUCCCCUCCCUCAGGUCAGCUAGGCUCUGAUAAAGCUCCAGAAGAUUGGGCUGGGCUAAAAUAGUUUCUCUUGAGAAGCAGGCCUUGUUAAGAACAGAAUGCUCUGGCAUAUUUCAAAAUGGUUACUUUUCCCAUCCCCCUGCUGAAAGCACAAGGAGAUUUUUCUCUGACAUUCACUGGGAGGACUCGAUAGAGAUCCUGAAGAUUAAACUCACAAACAUGUGGGGACGCCCCUAUGGCUGGCUCUUGCUGGAAUGUUUAAUGUUCAGAUUUGCCCACGCUGAGCCUCCAGCUAUUCUUCAAUUACAGGUUAGGUUGUCCUGUCCUGGUACCGGUUCUAGAGCAGGUUUCUACUUGGGGGUUUCUCCUUCUCUGUCUCUUCAAUUUUGAGGGCAGUGAUUUGCCCUGUGACCUGACUCCUCUAAAGGAUCUAAGAAGAAUUGUUGAUUUUCCAGUUUGCUAAACUUUUUACUUAUUAUUAGGACAGAGAGACAACGUCCAAGCCCCUUACAUGCCUGACUGGACACUAGACGUCUCACUACCAUGUAUUGAACACCCAGGUGGAAGUAAGCACUUUUUACAUAUUAUCUCAUUUAAUCCUCACAUUCACCCUGUGAAGUAAUACCACUACCCCAUGUUGUAGAGGUGAUUCUUAUGGCUCAGCAAGAAUUUAGUGACUCCCUCAAGGUCACACAGUUAGAAAGUAGGAUUUGAGCCGGGCGCGGUGGCUCAUGCCUGUAAUCCCAGCACUUUGGGAGACUGAGGCAGGCGGAUCACGAGGUCAGGAGAUCAAGACCAUCCUGGCUAACGUGGUGAGACCCCGUCUCUACUAAAAAUACAAAAAAUUAGCCAGGCGUGUUGGUGGGUGCCUGUAGUCCCAGCUACUGGGGAGGCUGAGACAGGAUAAUGGCGUGAACCCGGGAGGCAGAGCUUGCAGCGAGCUGAGAUCACGCCACUGCACUCCAUCCUGGGCGAUAGCGAGACUCCGUCUCAAAAAAAAAAAAAAAAAAAGAAAGUAGGAUUUGAACCUCAGUCUGUCUGUUAACAAAGUCAGUGUGUGUCCCGCGCACCAUGCCAUGCCCCAGAACUAAGCAGAUUCGGAUUAGGUCUUCAGACCCAGAGGCAGACAAAAGCCAGAAACAGAGACAGGAGCCCAGGCCAAAAUAGAGGAUGGGACCCAGAGCCUCCGAAAGUUCCCAGGAUGUAUGUUUGACAGACCAUCCCCCAGGUCUCCAGAGGUAAGUGUUGAAUCCCCCUUUUUCCCCUUUCCAGCUGCGUCACUUGGGUGAGCAGCUUUACCUCUUCUAGCCUCAAUUUUUUGGUAGGUAGCUCAGGGCCUGGCAAAUAGUAACUGCUCGAAAAAUGGAAGUUUGUCAUUGUUGUUGCUAGGUAGUGGCUAAUGUUACCAGCUGGGAGGCCGUAAGUGCUAAUCCCCUCCAGCUCUGGCCAGGUGAGGUCAGUAACUGGAGAUGAGGUCAGAGCCCUUAGAGGAAGGCACCCUGACCCCAGCUGGGCUGGCUGGAGAGGUGGCAGCAUUGGAACCUCGGUGAAGAAGCAUUCUGUUGACAGUUAUAAUGAGAUAUGCCAGCUCUAGUUUCCCAUGGGCACACCAGUUACCUCCUCUCCCUGGUAACUGACCCAGUUGGCACCCAGUGCCUGAGAGCUUGACGGCACAGUAGGAUCAGUCUUUCUCUGGGGGCAGGUGUGCCAGCUGGUAUAAAGGAAGAAAAGCCUCCCCGCUCCAGUGCAGAGCCAGCUCUGACACUUCCUGACCAACUCCAAUGCCAACUCUGACACCGCAAACUUCUGCUUUUUCAGAACGGAGUCACAGAGACUAGAUUUACCCUCCCUUCUGAAAUGCCUUAAAAUACAAAACCAAACAGACAGACACACACACACACAAAAUGGCACUCAAGACACUAUCUAUACAUUAGAUAAUGGCAAACAGUGAUCAAUGAGAGAAACGAAGAAAUACAGGUUAGUCCUACUGACUUGUCACCUGGAGAAAAUUCCCAUGCCAUGGCUCCCCUCAUUAACAAGACAUGUCCAGGGGCCUGGGGGAAGCCAAAGAGGCUGAAGUUUGUAAGGCAGAGCACUGGAGAGAGGAGAACUACAGAGAAAGAGCACUGGAGACACUCAGAGGGUCCCCCUUAACUAUUCAGUUGAGUAUAUAUAUAUAUAUUUUUUUGAGACGGAGUUUCGCUCUUGUUGCCCAGGCUGGAGUGCAUUGGCGCGAUCUCGGCUCACCACAACCUCCGCCUCCCGGGUUCAAGCAAUUCUCCUGCCUCAGCCUCCCGAGUAGCUGGGAUUACAGGCAUGUGCCACCACCCCGGCUAAUUUUGUAUUUUUGGUAGAAACGGGGUUUCUCCAUGUUGGUCAGGCUGGUCUUGAACUCCCGACCUCAGGUGAUCCGCCUGCCUCAGCCUCCCAAAGUGCUGGGAUUACAGGCAUGAGCCACCGCGCCUGGCCCAUACGUAGAAUUCUUUGAGCAAACUUUUCACCUGCUAAACCUUUGCUGCUAUCGUCAUCAUCAUCAUCAUCUACCUCAGAGGGUUCCUGGGGACCUGAAACAAGGCAAGCUAUACAAACUGUUUGACACAGGCAUCACUAAAUAAUUAUGGGGCAGAGUGAUGCAUGCUGGGAUAUAGAAUGGUGGGAGGUGCUGGGAGACUCACAGGAAAGAGAAAAGACUUCUGACUGGCUGGUUGGAAGAAAGAUGUGGAAGGCUUCCCAGAGGAAAUAGUGUUUUAGCUGGCCUCAGAGGACAUGUGUGGAAGUUUCCCAGGUAGACAAGGGGGAUAUAGAAAGACGAACUUGUGUGAAGACUCAGAUGUGAGAGAGCCUAAGCAUGUCGGGAACAUGGAGUGGUUUCAUGAGACUGCGUGUCUGGGUGAGGGCAAGGUGUGAGCCUGCACAGGACAUGGGGGCCGGAUGGCAAAAGGCUGGAAAUGCCUUGCCUGAGGUUUUAAACUUGACCUGGCAGGUGAGGUCCUGUUAAUAUGGCAGAAUCACAAAGGGCACUUAAAAGAACAAAUUCUGUGGUCCUACCCGGCAACAUUCUAAGUCAGCAGGUCUCAGAUGGGACCCAGAAAUCUACAGUGUUUAUUUUUAUUUAUUUGGGUUUUUUUGGAUACAGGGUCUCACUCUUGUCACUCAGGCUGGCGUGCAGUGGCACAAUCUCGGCUCACUGAACCUCAACUUCCCAAACUUAAGUGAUCCUCUCACCUGAGCCUCCUGAGUAGCUGAGACCACAGGUGUGUGCCACCACGCCAGGCUAAUUUUUUUGUAUUUUUAUUUUUUUAUUUAUUUUGAGACGGAGUCUCACUCUGUCGCCCAGGCUGGAGUGCAGUGGCACGAUCUCAGCUCACUGCAACCACUGACUCCUGGGUUCAAGCAAUUCUCCUGCCUUAGCCUCCCAAGUAGCUGGGAUUACAGGUGUGAGCUACCACGCCCAGCUAAUUUUUGUAUGUUUAGUAGAGAUGGGGUUUUGCCCCAGGCUGGUCUCGAACUCCUGGGCUCAAGCGACACUCAGGCCUCAACUUCCCAAAAUGCUGGGAUUAUAUGUGGGAGCCACCGCACCCGGCCUACAAUGUUUAUUUAUUUACUUUAUUUAUUUAUUUAUUUAUUUAAUUUAUUCACUCCUCUCAGCUCAUGCCUAAGGAAUCUACAGUGUUUAAAGCUCCCCAGGGCCAGGCGUGGUGGUUCACACCUGUAAUCCCAGCACUUUGGGAGGCUGAGGCAGGCGGAUCACCUGGGGUCAGGAGUUCAAGACCAGCCUGGCUGACAUGGUGAAACCCCAUCUCUACUAAUAAUACAAAAAAAAAAGCUGGGCAUGGUGGCAUGCACCUGUAGUCCCAGCUACUAGGGAGGCUGAGGCACAAGAAUGGCUUGAACCUGGGAGGCGAAGGUUGCAGUGAACCAAGAUCGCGCCACUGUACUCCAGCCUGGGCAACAGAGCAAGACAGAGACUCCAUCUCAAAAUAAAUAAAUAGAAGGCUCUCCAGGACAUUUUGAUGCCCACUGGGAUAUGGGAACUCCUGCCAUGGGGAGGAGGGCGUCUUUAAGAAGGAAUAGGCCCUAUUGAGAUGCCAGCUGUAGACCUCUAGGAGUUGACCAUCGAGCCUGAGAAGGUAAGGAGAGGGUGUAGGAGACCCCUGACUCUGACCUCCACCCUCUCAUUCCUCUCCAGGGCAGUCCCGCACUCUGAUGGCCACAUCUGGUGCCAGGUAGUUUCUCGUAAAGAUCUACACUCACAUUACAACCUAGACAUCCCACUAGUAGGUAUUUACCCAAGACACCUGAAAGCAUGUGUGUACCCAAAGACUCGUAAAUGAAUGCAACUCUAUAUGUAAUAGCCAAAAUUAGAAACAAUCCAAAUGUUCAUCAGCAGGUGAGUGGUAAAACAAGUUGUGAUAUGUUCAUACAAUGUUGCUACUCAGUAAUAAAAAGAAAUGAGCUACAGAUACAGAUAAGGAAACUUGGAGGUGAUAUGUUCAUAAUCUUGUUUGGGUCAAAGGUUUCAGGGAUGUAUACAUGUGUCAAAACAUAUCAAACCGUAUAAUUUAAAUACGUGCUGCUUAUUGUAUGUCAAUUAUAUCUCAAUAAAG
rnacentral:lncRNA from 1 species